GCAAGAUUUUAAGCUUCCUACGGGAGGCUGCAGUGGGGAAUCUUGCGCAAUGGGCGAAAGCCUGACGCAGCCAUGCCGCGUGAAUGAUGAAGGUCUUAGGAUUGUAAAAUUCUUUCACCGGGGACGAUAAUGACGGUACCCGGAGAAGAAGCCCCGGCUAACUUCGUGCCAGCAGCCGCGGUAAUACGAAGGGGGCUAGCGUUGCUCGGAAUUACUGGGCGUAAAGGGAGCGUAGGCGGACAUUUAAGUCAGGGGUGAAAUCCCGGGGCUCAACCUCGGAAUUGCCUUUGAUACUGGGUGUCUUGAGUAUGAGAGAGGUGUGUGGAACUCCGAGUGUAGAGGUGAAAUUCGUAGAUAUUCGGAAGAACACCAGUGGCGAAGGCGACACACUGGCUCAUUACUGACGCUGAGGCUCGAAAGCGUGGGGAGCAAACAGGAUUAGAUACCCUUGUAGUCGAAUUC
rnacentral:rRNA from 1 species